rnacentral:rRNA from 1 species
AGAGUUUGAUCCUGGCUCAGGAUGAACGCUGGCGGCGUGCUUAACACAUGCAAGUCGAACGAUCCUUCGGGAUAGUGGCGGACGGGUGAGUAACGCGUGGGAAUCUGCCCUCAGGAGGGGGAUAACGGCUGGAAACGGCCGCUAAUACCCCAUAUGCCGAGAGGUGAAAUGAAUUUCGCCUGAGGAUGAGCCCGCGUCUGAUUAGCUAGUUGGUGGGGUAAUGGCCUACCAAGGCAACGAUCAGUAGCUGGUCUGAGAGGAUGAUCAGCCACACUGGGACUGAGACACGGCCCAGACUCCUACGGGAGGCAGCAGUGGGGAAUUUUCCGCAAUGGGCGAAAGCCUGACGGAGCAACGCCGCGUGAGGGAUGAAGGCCUCUGGGCUGUAAACCUCUUUUCUCAAGGAAGAAGACCUGACGGUACUUGAGGAAUAAGCCACGGCUAAUUCCGUGCCAGCAGCCGCGGUAAUACGGGAGUGGCAAGCGUUAUCCGGAAUUAUUGGGCGUAAAGCGUCCGCAGGCGGCCUUGUAAGUCUGUUGUUAAAGCGUGGAGCUCAACUCCAUUUAAGCAAUGGAAACUACAAGGCUGGAGUGUGGUAGGGGCAGAGGGAAUUCCCGGUGUAGCGGUGAAAUGCGUAGAUAUCGGGAAGAACACCAGUGGCGAAGGCGCUCUGCUGGGCCAUAACUGACGCUCAUGGACGAAAGCCAGGGGAGCGAAAGGGAUUAGAUACCCCUGUAGUCCUGGCCGUAAACGAUGAACACUAGGUGUCGGGGGAAUCGACCCCCUCGGUGUCGUAGCCAACGCGUUAAGUGUUCCGCCUGGGGAGUACGCACGCAAGUGUGAAACUCAAAGGAAUUGACGGGGGCCCGCACAAGCGGUGGAGUAUGUGGUUUAAUUCGAUGCAACGCGAAGAACCUUACCAGGGUUUGACAUCCUGCGAACCCCUGAGAAAUCGGGGGGUGCCUUCGGGAGCGCAGAGACAGGUGGUGCAUGGCUGUCGUCAGCUCGUGUCGUGAGAUGUUGGGUUAAGUCCCGCAACGAGCGCAACCCACGUCUUUAGUUGCCAGCAUUCAGUUGGGCACUCUAGAGAGACCGCCGGUGAUAAACCGGAGGAAGGUGUGGAUGACGUCAAGUCAUCAUGCCCCUUACAUCCUGGGCUACACACGUACUACAAUGCUACGGACAAAGGGCAGCAAGCUCGCGAGAGUUAGCAAAUCCCAUAAACCGUGGCUCAGUUCAGAUCGUAGGCUGCAACUCGCCUACGUGAAGGAGGAAUCGCUAGUAAUCGCAGGUCAGCAUACUGCGGUGAAUACGUUCCCGGGCCUUGUACACACCGCCCGUCACACCAUGGAAGUUGGCCAUGCCCGAAGUCGUUACUCCAACCCUUGUGGAGGAGGACGCCGAAGGUGGGGCUGAUGACUGGGGUGAAGUCGGAACAAGGUA